GACUCAUUAGUUCAGUGGUAGAACGCUACACUCAUACCGUAGUAGUCCCGGGUUCAACCCCCGGAUGAGUCA
rnacentral:tRNA from 1 species